rnacentral:rRNA from 1 species
AGAGUUUGAUCCUGGCUCAGAAUCAACGCUGGCGGCGUGCCUAACACAUGCAAGUCGAACGAGAAAGGGGAGCAAUCCCUGAGUACAGUGGCGCACGGGUGAGUAACACGUGACUAACCUACCCUGGAGUGGGGAAUAACUGAGGGAAACCUUAGCUAAUACCGCAUAAUACCUACGGGUCAAAGGAGCAAUUCGCUUCAGGAGGGGGUCGCGGCCGAUUAGCUAGUUGGCGGGGUAAUGGCCCACCAAGGCAAUGAUCGGUAUCCGGCCUGAGAGGGCGCACGGACACACUGGAACUGAAACACGGUCCAGACUCCUACGGGAGGCAGCAGUGGGGAAUUUUGCGCAAUGGGGGAAACCCUGACGCAGCAACGCCGCGUGGA